GUGCUCACUUCGGCAGCACAUAUACUAAAAUUGGAACGAUACAGAGAAGAUUAGCAUGGCCCCUGUGCAAGGAUGACAUGCAAAUUCAUGAAGCGUUCCAUAUUUUA
rnacentral:snRNA from 1 species